CCUUACCAACCCUUGACAUCCUAGGACAACUCCAGAGAUGGAGCCUUCCUUCGGGACCUAGUGACAGGUGCUGCAUGGCUGUCGUCAGCUCGUGUCGUGAGAUGUUCGGUUAAGUCCGGCAACGAGCGCAACCCACAUCCUUAGUUGCCAGCAGUUCGGCUGGGCACUCUAGGGAAACUGCCCGUGAUAAGCGGGAGGAAGGUGUGGAUGACGUCAAGUCCUCAUGGCCCUUACGGGUUGGGCUACACACGUGCUACAAUGGCAGUGACAAUGGGUUAAUCCCCAAAAACUGUCUCAGUUCGGAUUGGGGUCUGCAACUCGACCCCAUGAAGUCGGAAUCGCUAGUAAUCGCGUAACAGCAUGACGCGGUGAAUACGUUCCC
rnacentral:rRNA from 1 species